rnacentral:lncRNA from 13 species
AUGAAAACGGAUGAUGCAGGUUUUAUUUCACAUCGCUUCAGAAAAUGGUAUCACGACAGACUAACAGAUGGGAAAUUACACAGGGCAGUGACUGCCAGGAUGAUUCACCAAACAAGGAAUCUGCUCCACAUUCAGCUGUCCAGAUCAUCUCAGCAAGGGGCAACACACAAUUUGAGGAGACGGGUAAAUGUUGACCCUUCUUUCUAGCGACUCUUCGUAAGUAUGUGGUCUUGGGAGACACUUAGCUUUUUCAUGCCUUGUUUUUAUGAUCUGUUUUUAAAAGAAGGGGAUAUGGGGUUUCUUGGGAUGAAAUAUUAUAAAGCACAGGAGAAUCUGUGAACUAAAAAGUUCUUUGCAAUAUGAUUUAUUUAUGAAGAAAAGGCACCAUAAUAAGGUUUGCAAAGUCAAGGAAAUCUGGUUAUUUUACAAUAAAAAAAUGAAAUCGAUAGAAUUAGAACUUAUC